rnacentral:lncRNA from 1 species
GGCGGAUUUAGAGGGGGGCCCAGGGGGCCCGGGCCCCCCCUUUUUGGGAAAAAAUUUGGUUGCUUAUAUAGGGAAUCACUGAAGCGUGACUGGAGCGGGCCCCCUCUAAGGUCAGUCAGUGGGCCCCCACUUAUGAAAAUUUCUGGAUCCGCCACUGGAUGUGAGCAGCCUUCAACAAUAAAAACAUCCAUGCAUGGUUUGGAUAGAGAAUACAAACAGGGAGUGUGUCAAAGAGACACUGGGUAACCCGAUCAAACAACAGUAAACAGCCCAAUGCCACCAAUGGGUCGGGUCUUCAACAAAGCAAGAUAAUCUUGCACCCUGAAGUGGGAUUUAACUUGCACCAGGAC